AUGGACAGAGCAAAAAGUGGAGUGUUGGUCAAAGCAAGCCGCUCUAUUCUAUUACCAGACAAAAUGGAGAGAAGCUCAUCCGCUAGAAAUGCUUUAUUUCGUUUCGUUCCCAUUCUUCAUUUCCUUAUUAUUGAAUACAUGGGGGACUUGUCAUAUUUAGAAUCUUUCUGCUGUCUACUAUGUUUACAAUUCUUUCGUACUCUCUUCUCUUUACCAUGCGAUAGGUCAGCGAAGCGUGAACGGGAGCUCCAAAGUAAAGGCCAAACACUUUGGCCUAAGGGGAAUGAGCAAAAAAAUGACAAGAUGAGGUGCCCCGGGCACCCCCUUAUAGUAAGAAGGGUCAAAUGUGUUGAGCCUGUAGCUCCCCCUCCCUCGUUGAGUGGUGCUUGUUUGGGGGGGGGUGUGCUACCAGAAAGCGGGCUUGAAGCUCUUGCCUUACCAACGAGCUGACUGCUAAUGGCUGUUGGUCAUGACUACUAGAAAAAAGUGAAGAUGAAUCUUUCUAUUUCACAUGGAGGAGUGUGCAUCUUUAUGUCGGGUGUUCUUCUAUCGUGCAACCCAAUGGCUUAUAUGUGA
rnacentral:rRNA from 1 species